rnacentral:rRNA from 1 species
ACGAACGCUGGCGGCGUGCCUAAUACAUGCACGUCGAGCGGACUUAAAAAGCUUGCUUUUUAAGUUAGCGGCGGACGGGUGAGUAACACGUGGGCAACCUGCCUGUAAGACUGGGAUAACUUCGGGAAACCGGAGCUAAUACCGGAUAAUCCUUUUCUACUCAUGUAGAAAAGCUGAAAGACGGUUUACGCUGUCACUUACAGAUGGGCCCGCGGCGCAUUAGCUAGUUGGUGAGGUAACGGCUCACCAAGGCGACGAUGCGUAGCCGACCUGAGAGGGUGAUCGGCCACACUGGGACUGAGACACGGCCCAGACUCCUACGGGAGGCAGCAGUAGGGAAUCUUCCGCAAUGGACGAAAGUCUGACGGAGCAACGCCGCGUGAGUGAUGAAGGUUUUCGGAUCGUAAAACUCUGUUGUUAGGGAAGAACAAGUACGAGAGUAACUGCUCGUACCUUGACGGUACCUAACCAGAAAGCCACGGCUAACUACGUG